rnacentral:misc_RNA from 1 species
GAUGAAGAACGUAGCGAAAUGCGAUAAGUAAUGCGAAUUGCAGAAUUUCCGUGAGUCAUCGAAUCUUUGAACGCACAUUGCGCCCACUGGUAUUCCGGUGGGCAUGCCUGUUCAAGCGUCAUUAUCCUCCCUCAAACCCCGGGUUUGGUGUUGGACCCAAGUUGUGUGAACAACUGGUCUUAAAGACAAUGACGGCGUCCGUGGGACCCUCGGUGCAACGAGCUUUUAGGAGCACGCAUCGAGUUGCAAGGACCUUCCGGGCCGGUCUCCUUUACUAUUUUACAAGGUUGACCUCGGAUCAGGUAGGAAUACCCGCUGAACUUAAGCAUAUCAAUAAGCGGAGGA